rnacentral:rRNA from 1 species
UCUUAACCUGCUAAUUAGCGGCAAAUACGAUAUAUUCUUACGUGGAAUUGCAUACUUAUGGUUUGUCUCUAUUGAGCUGCAUAAUAAUGAAGGAUCGUGAUUGCUUUUCGUGUCAAUCUUUCUUAAUCGAAUCGUUGAUGUGUUUUGUAUAUCUCGUUCUUUCAUUACCUUGCAAUCACUCAUUUGCCUUAUCAUACUGUUUCUCUUUUGCGUAAGAAUGUAUUUGCUUGAUUGUAAAGCUUCUUAGA